rnacentral:rRNA from 1 species
AACGUAGGUGGCAAGCGUUAUCCGGAUUUACUGGGCGUAAAGGGUGUGCAGGCGGGGCAGCAAGUGGGGGUUGAAAUCCCCCGGCUUAACCGGGAGGGGUUAUGCCAGACUGCUUUUCUAGAGGACGAGAGAGGGGGGUGGAAUUCCGGGUGUAGUGGUGAAAUGCGUAGAGAUCCGGAGGAACCCCAGAGGCGAAGGCGGCCCCCUGGCUCGUACCUGACGCUCAGCCACGAAAGCAUGGGGAGCGAACGGG